rnacentral:rRNA from 1 species
AUACGGAGGAUCCGAGCGUUAUCCGGAUUUAUUGGGUUUAAAGGGUGCGCAGGCGGCCAUUUAAGUCAGCGGUUAAAUCGUGGGGCUCAACCCCAUUCUGCCGUUGAUACUGGGUGGCUUGAUUGCGGUCGAGGUUGGCGGAAUUUGUUGUGUAGCGGUGAAAUGCAUAGAUAUGACGAAGAACACCGAUUGCGUAGGCAGCUGACCAGACCGCAAAUGACGCUCAUGCACGAAAGUGCGGGGAUCGAACAGGAUUAGGUACCCUGGUAGUCCGCACAGUAAACGAUGAAUACUUGUUUUCGGCGAUAUAAUGUCGGAGGCAAAGCGAAAGCGAUAAGUAUUCCACCUGGGGAGUACGCCGGCAACGGUGAAACUCAAAUGAAUUGACGGGG